CACAGCUCCACGGGCAGAACAUAUGAGGACCUGUGCACUGGAAAGAGGCUUAAGAUGACACCUCAAAGAGAGAGGAAGCUGGUGUGCAGGUACAGGACAGGAAGAGGAAACCCGCUGAUGAUCUUCAGAGAGGAAGUGGAGUGGGACGAGCCUGAGAUCCUCAGAUACCACGACUUCCUUUCUGAAGGAGAGAUCGACGUCAUCAAAACACUGGCCAGGCCAAAGCUUUCCAGAGCUAAAGUCAUUGAUCCAGUCUCUG